UACGUAGGUGGCAAGCGUUGUCCGGAAUUAUUGGGCGUAAAGCGCGCGCAGGCGGUCUUUUAAGUCUGAUGUGAAAGCCCACGGCUCAACCGUGGAGGGUCAUUGGAGACUGGGAGACUUGAGUGCAGAAGAGGAGAGUGGAAUUCCACGUGUAGCGGUGAAAUGCGUAGAUAUGUGGAGGAAUACCGGUGGCGAAGGCGGCCCUCUGGGCUGAAACUGACGCUGAGGCGCGAAAGCGUGGGGAGCAAACAGG
rnacentral:misc_RNA from 1 species